AGCAGUAGCCGCGGGAAUACGAAGGGGGCUAGCGUUGUUCGGAUUUACUGGGCGUAAAGCGCACGUAGGCGGACUUUUAAGUCAGGGGUGAAAUCCCGGGGCUCAACCCCGGAACUGCCUUUGAUACUGGAAGUCUUGAGUAUGGUAGAGGUGAGUGGAAUUCCGAGUGUAGAGGUGAAAUUCGUAGAUAUUCGGAGGAACACCAGUGGCGAAGGCGGCUCACUGGACCAUUACUGACGCUGAGGUGCGAAAGCGUGGGGAGCAAACAGGAUUAGAUACCCGUGUAGUCCCUGUCUCUUAUAC
rnacentral:rRNA from 1 species